AAAGCUGCACCGUCUCCUCAACAACCACCCAGUUGUCCGGGAGAUCGAUCACAGAGGGCACGUAACAGAACAAAUACGGGUUAGACGUACUGGCUGCAUCCAUGCAGGGCAGCAUGGCUGCUCCACCUUCCCACGCCCGGCGAUCUCAAAGCCAAGGGGCUGCUUUUUAGAGCACUGGAGUCUGCACGCAGGACCAACACCAGCUUCAGCAUCCAGGAGAAAUUUUUAGACUGACGUGUUUGAUGAAACUAACCUUGUGCUGGUUUUCUACAAAGGUGGAAGAUUUGAAGUACAGAUUUGAAGGCCUUAAUUGUCCAAAAGCUUGCUUUAAAGGCUUAGCUGCAGUGGAUACGGCCAUGGAUUUCUCAAGGAAGCCUCUUAACGUAUGGAUUUGAGUAGCUUCCAUCU